CAAAGUUAACGAGAUAAUUUAGUUUAAAGAAAUUCCAAUUUUCAAAUAAAUACUUCUUUUUAUGUGGAAUCCAUAUCGCCAUGAACACUUGAUGAAUGUGGUAAGAUUUUUUUUGUCGAAAUAUAUAUUUCAGAAUAGGUACAUUUAAUAUCAAGAAGUUCCCCUUUUGUCAAAUUUUAAGAAACAAAAAGACAAAAUAAGCUUAUGAGACCAAUUUUAAAGAUUGAGUAAUAAAAAUUAUAUACAGAAGGAUACAUAUUUAUAUGAUACUAAUCAACGAAAACACUAUAUACCGUUCGUGCGUUUGAAGUAAUUUUGUCGAUUUACUUUUAUCAAGAAGGCUAAAGGCCGAAUAUUUGAAGGUCAAAGAUGGAUAAGAAACGACACAGUUGAAGAGCUAUACUAUUCAAAAGGACCAACUAUGCCCCAAUAAAUUGAAUCUUUAUAUUCUUUAUAUAAAAAUAUCCAAAUUCAUCUAUGGUUAUCUUUGCCUGAUGGAGUCGAAACCAUAUUUUCUGAAUAAUUCAUAAAUUUAUAAACGGACAAUUUAAAAAAGACUUAUUAUAUUUCAUUUCAGUACUCAAGUGCAAGAUUACGAACGAUUUCUUUAUGUUUUAGUCCUGCAAUAUUUUAAAACCAUGAAUAAAUAUGUUGGACCCAAACCUGUGGUGAGUUCCAAAUAUAUGGCAGAUUCCUAAUCUAUGGCAAAUAUGACGUCAUGCCAUCCCAAUUCUAUGGCAGAUUUUUUUUAAAAUCCUUAUCUAUGGCAAAUAUGAAUUCAUGCCAUUCCUAAUCUAUGACAGUUUUUUAACAAUCCUAAUCUAUGGCAAGUUUUUUAAUUUCCUAAUCUAUGGCGUAUUUUUGUUGAUUCCAAAUCUAAGGCAAAUUUUGUGACUUUCCGUAAAUAAGUGGAAAUGUACGACACGGGAGAAUGUCUAUAUACAUUUGUGAAAUAAACGUUAAGUAAUAAUCAACUAAAUCUUGAUGGCAACUAGUAAAUUUCGUAAAUUAUGAAUAGACGUCAAAACUGAAAUGAUGUACCCCGUAAACAAAUCUGAAUUUUCAAAAAAUAUCUAUUUUAUCGUUGAUCAAUCUAUUUGAUGACGAUUUAAAUCAAUUUUGUAUCCGGUAAUUAUAUCUUAGACUUUUUUUAAUUUUGUCAGCCAUAGACGGCAAAAUAUUUAAUAACUCCAUUUAUAAAAUAUCCGGUACUGAAAACAGCGGUGUUCAUUACGGGAUUUGGCCUGUACAGCACAUCUUGUCCCUCUUCCGAAUAAUAGGUCAUAUCUUGCUUUGAACCAUCCGCAAAUUGUUGUAUAGGGAAACACUUCCAUCUGAAAUGGUGUUCAAAUCUAUGGGUCCCGCCAUCGUUAGCGGCGGCGGCGACGUAAUGCGAAGUUAUUCAAUUUUGACGUUAUAUGUCUUACUCUUUUUCCAGGAAAAUUACACAAUUUGGAGAAAACAAAAAUUUGCCAUAGAUUUGAUUUGUUAGACGUUUGUAACCUCACAUUUGUCAUACAUUAGGAAUCUGUCAUUGAUUUGGAACCCGCCAUAGAUUUAAGUCCUACACAUAUAUUAUGUCAUAUGCUUACAUGAAAAUGGAAAUGCUUUAUAGUAAAAAGGUUAUAUUUUGUUUUUCGUACAGUUGAUUAUCAGCUGAACCUCAUGUUAAAUUUAGUGCAAACCAAUGUAUCAAUGAACCAUUAUUUUUUGCUAUCGUUUACUUCUAGUUCAAAAGGGGUUGAUGCAAUCUGUCAACAACUCUUGUUAAUGUGUCUGGGUGUAGCUACAGCUUUGGUCAGUUCUAACAUCUACUAAAAUAAACCAGGAAUUCCAACAUGUCUUGAAAUACCCCAGCAAUUCUUAUAUCUCUAGAAACAUACCAUCUAACAUAAAUUUUGUUAAAUUGUCUUACAUAUUUAUCAGACAUCGAUACUUUUCUUUUCAUAUUUUAUUCAUUAAUAAAACUCUUGGUGUAUUGAACAUGACACGUCAAAUUUUUAUUUCCAUAAUGCACAGUGUGUAUUCAUUCUAAUCUUUUUACUUUAUUCUUCUAUUUUGAUAUAGUUUAACUUGCUUUUGGAAAGGCAAAUGUCUUUUCUUAAUUUUUGUUUUUCGUGAACAUAUUCGUUUACAUUACACUCGUGUCAUAGUGUAACAUGUCAGAUAGGUAUAUACAAUUUAUCAUUGGAUUAUAUAAUUGAAUAUAAUUGUAAGUUUAUAUAUUCUUCAAAAACGCA
rnacentral:lncRNA from 1 species